GAGACUCUAGUAAAAUAAUUACACCACCUUGUCGAGGUGGAAUUGUGAGUGAAAACCACACGAGCCUUA
rnacentral:tRNA from 1 species